rnacentral:lncRNA from 1 species
AUUCGGCAACAAGAAAAAGAUAGGAAUAGAAUAAAGCAGAGAAAAAUCAGAAGAGUAAAUCGGCAGAAGUACAAUAGAACAAUGAACGGUAGGGAGGAUAGGUUCAAAGAACAGCAAGAGGAGAAUGGUGUAUUCGGCAAUCAAAGAGGAGAGAAACCGAAAGAAAGAAGAAAAGAAAAAGAUGAGGGAGAAGAGUAUAUUCGGCCAAAAAAAUAAAAAAAAAUAGGUAAAAAGGAAAAGAGCAACCAAAAGAAAAUGAACCCGAGAGGUAACUUCCAGAACUAGGCAAAAUUCGACACCAAAACUAAAACGUAAAACCCGAAACUCACCGAAAUCACAGCAAACUAAGAGAGAAACUCCAAAAAGACCAAAACCAAAAACCUUUAGGAUUAAGUGACUAAAUUCAGCACAAACACCCUCCCCCAGCCGAAUUUUCAAUGCCUCAAUUACCCCAAACGACACAACAUUCCUCACUAAACAACUCCUUGAUUUUCUCCUAAAAUCUCUCCCCUUAUCCCUCCUUGAUUUUCUCCACCCAAUCACAAUCCCACUAAUCCCUCCAUGAUUCACUCCUUUAUUCAAAUUCCAUAGUAUUUUAGUCAAACUUCACCACCUUACUGCACAAAUGGUAAAAAUAAACACUCCUCAGUGUAGCAUAGGACUCGAACAUCAGAUCUUAAGGAAACUUCACAUGCC